UCGCGAUAUCAAGGCUCACAGCAAGAGCCUC
rnacentral:sRNA from 1 species